rnacentral:ribozyme from 1 species
CAUCUAUUUGCUUGCUUCCCGCCCGCUUCCAUUGUUUCUCAAUUGUAAUUUUUUCAUGUUUCAUAAUCAAAACUGCGCUAAUUAUUAAAAAA